UACGUAGGGAGCAAGCGUUAUCCGGAUUUAUUGGGUGUAAAGGGUGCGUAGACGGGAUUACAAGUUGGUUGUGAAACCCCUCAGCUCAACUGAGGAACUGCAACCAAAACUAUAAUUCUUGAGUGCAGGAGAGGAAAGUGGAAUUCCUAGUGUAGCGGUGAAAUGCGUAGAUAUUAGGAAGAGCACCGGUGGCGAAGGCGACUUUCUGGACUGUAACUGACGUUGAGGCACGAAAGUGUGGGGAGCAAACAGG
rnacentral:rRNA from 1 species